CACGCCGUGCUGCACAUCCUCCUCAGGGACCUGGGCACGUCUCACCGGCACCUCUCUCGGCCCCGCAGUCCUCCCGGCUAGCUUAGCCCAGAGGGACCCCCGAAGGAGCCCUGUCCUGCUGCUGCCAUCCCCCGCCCCAGCCCCGACGGCACUGCCCCUUCCUGCCCUGCCUGCCUCGCCCAGGGCUACGAGGUGCUGCUGGCCCCGGGCAGUCUUCUGGGCUGAGGAACGUGGCCUGCACCAGACCGAGCCAAAACCCUGGCCGUGCGAUUCACCCCUGUCCUGGGAAGAGUGGUCCAUAUCCUGGCUGCCUGGGGGUAGCAGGGAACUCCAGAAAAUACCAAGUGCGUGCUUGGACUGCAUCAAAGGUCACUUCUGCACGGUGAGGAUCAUGCUGUCACAUCAUCCCUGCAGUGCAGUGAGUGUGGGGCUUCCCUGCCCCAGAGCACGCGCUCACAGACCAAAAUAAAAUGCAGAUGAAGAAGUGAAGAGUGAGAAAGAGCUGAAGAGACACGAGAUGAGAUGAGAGGAAGGCUCCUGGUAAUCAUGGGUUGGAAAUGGAGUCUCAAAUAGAGACAGUUCUUGGCAGCAGGAAGCAGAAGACAGCUCUAAGUGGGGAGAGACGUGUGAGUGACAUACAGAGGGGAGCGUGGGAGCAGCAGCAGCGAGGGCAGGGCGACCACAGGGAGGGCAAGCAGAGCCAUCUCCGGACUUGGAUGGCCCUGGAACUGGAGGAAAGAAAGAAGAAGGAGGAUGGAAACUCUUCAAUGGCUCUUCUUGUCCCUGUGUGAGGAGCUCCUCACCUGGCUGAAACGGACAUGCUCAAGACCAGUGAAAUGACAAUGGCUGUGUGGGAGUAAGAUGUCUUGGCAACCUUCCUGAAGGGAAAAUAAGUGAUGCAGAGCAGUCAGAGUCACCCCUGUGCUUGGAAAGAUCAUGGAGCAGAUCCUGCUGGAAACAAUGCUAAGACACGUGGAAGGGAUGCUGCAAGUUCAGCUCUUCUCUGGAGAUGGCCCCUUGACAGCAGAGCUGGGACAGGAGUGGAACAGGGCACUGCACAGGCUGGGUCUGAUGGAGACAAUGGCCCCUUUGCUCCAACAUUCAUCCUCCUAAGACCAGAACAGUGAUACCCCAUGUGCUCCCAAAGACUGCUGAGACUCACCACAGACAUUGUUGUGAAGAAUCUUGCUCAGCAAGAUAAGAAACUAUUCCCAUCUGUCCCUUCCCAGGUGAAUAACCAGUGUCCUGGAUGAGCAGUGGAGUUACAGCCCAGUGCUUUCUGACAACAGAGUCUGAUCCUCCAAGGCUGGCCAGCAGCUAGGUGGCAAAGCAGGAGUGUGAUUUUUAUCUUUUGCAAUGAUUCACCUUGGUUAAAUAUUAUUUCUGAUAUCCAGUUAUAUGCUGUCUGCAGAGACCUCCAUGCUUGUCUAAGGCCCAUUUAAUUCAGUGCCUUUGUGCUGGCUUCACUGUGGGCUGGGUCCUACUUGGGCUGUGGCUGUGUCCUUUAAUAGCCACAGCUGUAAAAACUUAUUAGCUGCUUCUCUGGAGGCCUGUUGUCUUUCUGAUAAAAAAAAAAAAAAGAAAAGAAAAAAGUGUAUUUCAAGGGGAAUGAAAUUUCAGAU